AAAAACAAUGAUCCCGACUGAGAGAUCAUUACAAUUAGUAUUGGUAUGCAAAUAGUCAACAUAACAUAAGCAUAUUACAAACUAUGGUAAUAACUAAAUACAAAAAGUGAAAUUUAACCCCAGUGAGAUGGAUCAGGCUGUAAACUGCCCGAUUCUGUCGCUGUUCAGGGCGCCACGUGUAACCACCCUCAAUCCCUGGUGGACUGAACAAAGGGGGCGAACGUGGGAAUAAAAGACAAGAGACAAGAGAGUAUAUUUGAAAGAAGGGGUCAGGGGGCACCUUGCCUCUAGUGGACAAGGGCCCUGAGCUUUACACAGCCCUCCAUAUUUAUUGGUAAAAGAGAUAGAGCUUUACACAGCCCUCCGUAUUUAUUGGUAAAAGAGAUCGCGACAAAGUGCAGUGAUUGUCGGGUAAUCGGCAGUCCGCCGUUUGGUUCACAGCAGGCUUGCGAGACUGCAUCCUUCGAACAACAGGCGCUAGAUUUCCCAGUAGAUAACUUCAAGGACCCCAGUGCCAGGGAGUGACCGCCCUCAGCAAACCUUCUGGCAGCAGGCGCAGCUGUGAGUUUUACUCACAUCCUACAUUCAGGAUAAACAGUUUGCUGAUUGAUCAUAUAGCCUCCAGUGGAAUGCUGAGUUGGUCACGAUCCCUUCGGCCUUUUUGGCUCCCAGUAUCAGGCUAUUUUUUUUUCAACCAGUUCAUCCAUUCAUGGGAUGACAUAGAUUCAGCACCGGUGCUGUUCUUAUUUUUCGUAUUUAUAGAUCAAAACACCGAGGAAAACCCGCGCCUGUAAUUAAGCAGAUGGCACCAGGAGUUCUGCCGCUUGACUCUGAGCCCUUCUGAAGACUUCAUCAGCCGGAGCUUGACAGGUUCUCCUUCACAUGUGGCUGAAGCCAAAAGAGAAGCCUCCCGGCCUGCAGGCAGCUUCGUGGGUGGCACGUGGGGGCGGCCUCCUCAGCCUUGAUGGCGGGCUGUCCUCUGGCAGAGCCCUCACCAGGCAGCAGCUGACGAGGAGACCCGGAUGAUGACGGAAGCUCUGGAGACGUUCCUAAGGCCUCGUGACUGUGUUUGGAAGGUGUUUGCAUCUGUGCAGCUCAGCGUGAGGGGCAGAUAGGCUGAGCCACACCCUGGCAGCCUGGGGUGGUCGUCUGAUUCUUGCUGUCCUCAAGCUCACACUCCAGUCUCACCAUGCAUGGCUCCCAGCCCCCUUCUUGGCCCUGGGGGGACCCUCCAGGGAUCAUCACCGCCAACUCUUCAGUACACCCUCUGUCCCCUGAGCUUUGCUUUCCACAUCGAGGGCCAUUUGCCUGCUUAAGGCCCAUGGUCCUGAAGGGACCUCCUUCCUCCUACUCGACAGA
rnacentral:lncRNA from 10 species